rnacentral:rRNA from 1 species
AGUGAACGCUGGCGGUAGGCCUAACACAUGCAAGUCGAACGGCAGCACAGUAAGAGCUUGCUCUUACGGGUGGCGAGUGGCGGACGGGUGAGGAAUACAUCGGAAUCUACUUUUUCGUGGGGGAUAACGUAGGGAAACUUACGCUAAUACCGCAUACGACCUACGGGUGAAAGCAGGGGAUCUUCGGACCUUGCGCGAUUGAAUGAGCCGAUGUCGGAUUAGCUAGUUGGCGGGGUAGAGGCCCACCAAGGCGACGAUCCGUAGCUGGCCUGAGAGGAUGAUCAGCCACACUGGAACUGAGACACGGUCCAGACUCCUACGGGAGGCAGCAGUGGGGAAUAUUGGACAAUGGGCGCAAGCCUGAUCCAGCCAUACCGCGUGGGUGAAGAAGGCCUUCGGGUUGUAAAGCCCUUUUGUUGGGAAAGAAAAGCAGCAGGUUAAUACCCCGCUGUUCUGACGGUACCCAAAGAAUAAGCACCGGCUAACUUCG